rnacentral:tRNA from 1 species
GGAGGUAGCUCAGUGGUAGAGUGCCUGCCUAGCAUGUGCGAGGUUUUGGGUUCAAUCCCCAGUCCCUCCA